rnacentral:lncRNA from 1 species
CGCUGAGAGGAAGCAUGUUGGCGGGAGAGAUGGGAUCCGAUGAUGUCAUCGUGCCAUCACCAGAGGGCCUGGUGGUUUCUACGGUGAUGAGGGAGACGGUUGCCAUGGGAACAUGACAAGCAGCAGCCGCCCGGUGCUUUGGGGAGUGAUUGGUGGCAGCUCCUCCAGUCCUGAACUCUUGUCCUUUUUACUGUGACUCUCCCUCACCACCUAGACACGUCAGAUGAGCAGAGAGGGAGAUGGAGGAAUGAGACGGAGGAGUGAAAUUCUAGACAAAGAGCAGUGAGGUGAGGCCCCUAUCCACGCAGCCUGAGCCAGGCACCCCUGGAGGCCCUGUGGGGCCCUGCAGCAGAUGUCAAUGGGACAGGUGUCAGACGGCUAGCUGUUGGCAGCCAGCUACAGCACAGAGGUCACCUAAGCAGAGGAGCCUGCCUGUCUAUGACACCGGAGACACUGGAGGUGUUUGGGGUGGAGAGGACAAGUAAGAAGACAUCACUUACACAAUCAAUCAAAUGUAACUUACAUUCAGAGAACUACUCCUCCAGCCAUCCCUUUCUCCCUUUGUGAUGUCAUAUCCUGGCCAGCCGAAUGCAGGUGGGCUCUCCGUCAAUAUGAGGCUUUUGCUGGUCCCACCCCAAAUACACACAGGUAGACACACACACACACACACACACACACACACACACACACACACACACACACACACACACACACACACACACACACACACACACACACACACACACACACACACACACACACACACACACACAUACGUCACGGCAGCACUCGGAUCUCCACGCCAUGAUGGCCGACUUCUUGGGGUUCCUGUUACUACGAAAAACCGUGCGAUGUCAUCAUGUACUUCCGCAAGAACUUCUCCGCUUUCACCUUCACCUUGAGGACAGGCAAUGUGGCUGCGUCGGUCAGAGGAAGGCCCCAAAAACUGUCAAAGGCUCCAGUCACCCAAGUUAUAGACUGUUCUCUCUGCUACCGCACGGCAAGCGGUACCGGAGCGCCAAGUCUAGGUUCAAAAGGCUGCUUAACAGCUUCUACCCCCAAGCCAUAAGACUGCUGAACAAUUAAUCAAAUGGCUACCCAGACUAUUUACAUUGACCCCCUUUUUUACGCUUCUGCUACACGCUGUUUAUUAUCUAUGUACGUAUAGUCCCUUUACCCCUACCUACAUGUACAUAUUACCUCAAUUACCUCAACUUACCCGUACCCCCGCACAUUGACUAGGUACCGGUACCCCCUGUAUAUAGCCUCGUUAUUGUUAUUUUAUUGUAUUACUUAAAAAAUAUAUAUAUUUAGUAAAUCUUUUUUUUAAACUGGAUUGUUGGUUAAGGGCUUGUAAGUAAGCAUUUCACGGUAAUACCUGUUGUAUUCGGCGCAUGUGCCAAAUCAAGUUUGAUUUGAUUU